UUUGCUUUGUAGUUAAGCCAACUGAUGAAACUCCACUUCAGGUCCGUGUUUCUGAAUCCUGAUCAUAUGGAAGUCCUGAGCAAUGCAAUAGCCGGCACUGAAACUGAAUUGAUGUUGGAAGAUGCUACUAAGUGCCGUUUUCUUCUUUUUACUAGAUGACCAACCUUGGAAGAAUUCUCAAGCACAAGAGGAGCCAGUCUUAAAACCCCAAAUGACCAACCUUGGAAGAAUUCUCAAGUGCAGGAGGAGCCAGUCUUAAAACCCCAAAUGACCAACCUUGGAAGAAUUCUCAAGCACAAGAGGAGCCAGUCUUAAAACCCCAAAUGACCAACCUUGGAAGAAUUCUCAAGCACAAGAGGAGCCAGUCUUAAAACCCCAAAUGACCAACCUUGGAAGAAUUCUCAAGUGCAGGAGGAGCCAAUCUUAAAACCCCAAAUGACCAACCUUGGAAGAAUUCUCAAGCACAAGAGGAGCCAGUCUUAAAACCCCAACUGUAUCACUACACCACACAACCAGGGGAAAAAUGCAACGAGAAUACGUCUGUUCAAACUCCGGCCCGACAAAGUCUUCACUGCUGCCCGUGAGACGUUACAAGUCAGAAGCUUGGCCUGCGGUGUAUUUCAGUCCAAUUGACUUAUCUGACUUGUUUGAAUUGGGAAGGUUUCACAGCCCCCAUUUGGCAGUUGAUGGAAUUGACCACAAGUUUGUUGUCAAAUCAUAUUUGGCACAGUAGCCAAUCCUAAAAACUUUUCCCCACUUAAGGUACCGUAUUUUCCGCGCUAUAAGCCGCCCUGUGUUAUAAACCGCACCUUCAAUGAAUGGCAUAUUUAAAAACUUUGUAAACCUAUAAGCCGCACCGGGUCAUAAGCCGCGCCCACGCUGCGCUAAAGGGAAUGUCAAAAAAACAGUCCGAUAGGUCAGUCAAACUUUAAUAAUACAAACCAGUGUGCGAAUGUGCAAUCACAACAAUAGUAACACUCAACAUAUUGCAGAGCAAUAGCAACAUCAAUAACUCAACUUUGCUCGAACGUUAAUGCCACAGCACACAAAAUAAACAUUUAAAGCUCACCUUCAGAAGUUAUUCCUCAUCCAUAAAUCCCUCGAAUUUUUCUUCUUCGGUGUCUGAAUUAAAAAAUUGGGCGAAUACGGCAUCCAAAAUGGCGGGCUCCGUCUUGUCGAAGUCAUCAGAGUCAGUGUCGCUGUUGCUGUCCGGCAGUUCCAUGAAUCCUGCCUUCCUGGCCGGAUCUUUUUUCAGCUAUCUUGUUUUUACAAUAUGCGUGGAAAGUAGCCAACUUUUCUUGAAAGUCUUUUGGCAGUUGCUGUGAAAUAGUAGUCCGUGUGCGGAUGGAGAGAUUGUGUCUUUUCAUGAACCGGAAACACCAAGAAGCACCACCUUAUAAAAUCAUCCAAGUGAAGUUCGCUUGCUGGCGCUGUUGCCGUCAUUGGAAUAGUGAUGUUACUGACACUUCUGCUUGCUGCUCGAGUUUGUCCUCCAACUGUUGCCAUCUUGCUUUGUUCCCUCAAACUCUGUGUUGUCUUCUUUACUUGGCGCAGGUCAUCUUGUUGCUUCCUCCAUCAAAGCACCAUUGAUUCAUUUAUGUUCAAUUCUCUCGCUGCUGCUCUAUUUCCGUGUUCUUCUGCGUGACUUAUUUCCUUGAGUUUGAAUUCGGAUUAGCCGCGCGCUUCUUCUUCUACGGGGACGGGUGCUUACCUUGGCGGUUGCGUACCGUAGAAGAAGAAGCGCUUCCUCUUUCCAGGUGGGCGGGUGCUUACCGUAGAAGAAGCACUUCCUCUUUCCAGGUGGGCGGGCGCUUACCUUGGCGGUUGCUUACCGUAGAAGAAGAAGCGCUUCCUCUUCUACGGGGAAAAAAGAUGGCGGCUGUUUACCGUAGUUGCGAAACCUAAACUCUAUGAAAAUAAAUAUUUAUAUUAAUACAUAUAUAAGGCGCACCGGGUUAUAAGCCGCACUGUCAUCUUUUGAGAAAAUAUUUGGUUUUUAAGUGCGGCUUAUAGCGUGGAAAAUACGGUAUAAAUGAACAAUAACCAACAAAUAAAGUCAACACAUGGUUGUACAUAACACAUCCUGCACCUGUGUGAAGUUUGCCUCCCGGCCCUUGCAAAACUUUUGAAAUAGUCUCAUUCGUUUGUGCAGUUGAAAUGGUUGUUUGUGUAAUUUUGUUUCAGACUUAUUAAAUAAUUUUUAGGUCAAUGAAAUAGUUAUUGCAGAAAUAUUGUUUGUGCUGCUAACGUGUUAAAUAGCUUCUAUAUUUUGUUUAUGUUAUCAUGAAAUUAAUUUACAUACAAACGUGCAUAAUUUUUUCAAAACCAGUCCCAAUAGUUUGUGCUGUUUAAGCAGUUGAAAUUGUUUGUUAUGCUGCUUUCGUUUUUUUUUGAGUUAUUAAAAAUGAUUUUAUAGGUCAAAGGUCACUCAGAUCCCCCAAUCGCCCCCCCUUUUUUGUUCCAAAUUAGUCAUUUGUUUGUGCAGCAAAAAUUAAUUGGGCUGAUUUUGUUUUUGAAGCAUUAACUUUGGAAUAAGCGGUAGAAAAUGGAUGGAUGGAUGGAACUUUCAAAUUUCCUGGGAGUGAUGUCAUUGUGAACCUGAACAACCGGGUUUCUUCAUACUAGGCUGCUGAAAUAGUCUUCGUUUGUGCAGUUGAAAUGAUCCAUUGUGCUGCUAUAGUUUAUGAAUUAACAUGAGACUAUUUAGGAAGUGAUGUCACGACCGGACCGGAAUUGUAUUUUCGACCAAAAUGGUGUCAUUUGCUGUCCAAACAACAAAAUACCUUUGGUUUGUGCAAUUGAAAUCAUAAAUUCUGCUGCUGUAGUUCAAUAAGUACUAACGCUUACUAUUUAGGAAAUGAUGUCAUGACUGAACUGGAGUUGUCCGAUUUUGUCCCAGUCAGUCUAAUUUAUGGUCUAAACAUAAUUUCUCGCUCGUGCUGUUUUGUUUCUGUAAUGUGUUGUCGCAACUGUCGAUUGUUUUGCUACGUUUCAAAUGAGCAUCAUGAAUGACGCUUCACUGCCUCCGGGGGGCAGCAAACAGACUGGUGCAUUUGUGGAAUUGAAAGUUUGAACUCAACUUUUAUUAAGGCCCCCAUGUUGGGUACAAUACACAUUUUAACUAAUAGUAAAAUAAAUUGCGGAAAAAGUU